AAUAAGGCGGGUUACAGAAUGCAAACACACCUGCUGCCAAAGGGUCAAGUCCAAAGGGCUCACUUUCACUGAACUACUUUUUUAAAAACCACAGUCCAAAAUAGAGUACAUCUGAGAGCUGAGCCCAGGGGAGCCCAGGAGGCAGGUAAGGCAGGAAUGCUGCAGGCACACCUGAAACCCACAGCCUGGCACCCAGCAGCUGAGGGUGGGAGGACUCAGGGCAGGAGGGCAGGUUCUAAGGGCCGGCCUCUGUGAUUCCAACAUGGCUCUACCGUGGUGAAGGUCUACAGAUCUGAGUAAGGUCUACCACAGCCUCAAAGAGAAAUAAGCAAAGGCCCGCAGAACGGCACUUACUGGGUGAAGCUCCCCAAUGAUGUACGUUUUGGACAAUUCUCGAGCAUCGGUAGAGUGCCCGAUAUCCUCGAAGUUUUCAGUAGCAUCCCCUCCGGCUUGUUCUCGGAGGACCUCUUCCCCACCAGGAUGC